GCUGCGGUUUAGUUCGUUGUGCAACGUGAGAUUUGUCUGCGUUGUCGGGAACAAAUUUCCGGAGAAUUCCGUCCAGAAUCGAUUGAAAUUAUUGAAAUUCCAGAUCAACGAAUGGUUUACCAGAUCUUGCAGCUCGAAAAGCUCGUUGGUUCGUUGGAGGAUUUACGGCAUAUUCAAUGCAACUGCAAAGGCGGGCCGCAGGCCGCGGGCUAGUGGAGAUCGAAUUUCGGCCGCAACGAAAAGUGCAGAAUGACGAGAUCGAGCCAGGUGUUCCAAAAUGACAAGGCCGGGUGUGCAAAACGACAAGGCCCCCGACGGCACCGUUUGCGAGAGCUGAAAGCUUCCAGAAGUGUUUUUUUUUGUGCCACGUGAUAAAUAAGUGUGUGAUGAUCAUGUUUGUGUAGUGAAUAAAACAGUUUUUGACCAAAUUAA